AGCCAUGCCGCGUGUGUGAAGAAGGCCUUCGGGUUGUAAAGCACUUUCAGUCGUGAGGAAGGUAGUGUGUUUAAUAGAUGCAUUAUUUGACGUUAGCGACAGAAGAAGCACCGGCUAACUCCGUGCCAGCAGCCGCGGUAAUACGGAGGGUGCGAGCGUUAAUCGGAAUUACUGGGCGUAAAGCGCAUGCAGGUGGUGUGUUAAGUCAGAUGUGAAAGCCCGGGGCUCAACCUCGGAAUAGCAUUUGAAACUGGCAGACUAGAGUACUGUAGAGGGGGGUAGAAUUUCAGGUGUAGCGGUGAAAUGCGUAGAGAUCUGAAGGAAUACCGGUGGCGAAGGCGGCCCCCUGGACAGAUACUGACACUCAGAUGCGAAAGCGUGGGGAGCAAACAGGAUUAGAUACCCUGGUAGUCCACGCCGUAAACGAUGUCUACUUGGAGGUUGUGGCCUUGAGCCGUGGCUUUCGGAGCUAACGCGUUAAGUAGACCGCCUGGGGAGUACGGUCGCAAGAUUAAAACUCAAAUGAAUUGACGGGGGCCCGCACAAGCGGUGGAGCAUGUGGUUUAAUUCGAUGCAACGCGAAGAACCUUACCUACUCUUGACAUCCAGAGAACUUUCCAGAGAUGGAUUGGUGCCUUCGGGAACUCUGAGACAGGUGCUGCAUGGCUGUCGUCAGCUCGUGUUGUGAAAUGUUGGGUUAAGUCCCGCAACGAGCGCAACCC
rnacentral:rRNA from 2 species